rnacentral:rRNA from 1 species
AGUCGAACGGCAGCGCGGGGCAACCUGGCGGCGAGUGGCGAACGGGUGAGUAAUAUAUCGGAACGUACCCAAGAGUGGGGGAUAACGUAGCGAAAGUUACGCUAAUACCGCAUACGAUCUAUGGAUGAAAGUGGGGGAUUCGCAAGAACCUCAUGCUCCUGGAGCGGCCGAUAUCUGAUUAGCUAGUUGGUGAGGUAAAGGCUCACCAAGGCGACGAUCAGUAGCUGGUCUGAGAGGACGACCAGCCACACUGGGACUGAGACACGGCCCAGACUCCCACGGGAGGCAGCAGUGGGGAAUUUUGGACAAUGGGCGCAAGCCUGAUCCAGCAAGGCCGCGUGAGUGAAGAAGGCCUUCGGGUUGUAAAGCUCUUUUGUCAGGGAAGAAACGGUUGGGGCUAAUAUCCCCGGCUAAUGACGGUACCUGAAGAAUAAGCACCGGCUAACUACGUGCCAGCAGCCGCGGUAAUACGUAGGGUGCGAGCGUUAAUCGGAAUUACUGGGCGUAAAGCGUGCGCAGGCGGUUUUGUAAGUCUGACGUGAAAUCCCCGGGCUCAACCUGGGAAUUGCGUUGGAGACUGCAAGGCUAGAGUCUGGCAGAGGGGGGUAGAAUUCCACGUGUAGCAGUGAAAUGCGUAGAGAUGUGGAGGAACACCGAUGGCGAAGGCAGCCCCCUGGGUCAAGACUGACGCUCAUGCACGAAAGCGUGGGGAGCAAACAGGAUUAGAUACCCUGGUAGUCCACGCCCUAAACGAUGUCUACUAGUUGUCGGGUUUUAAUUAACUUGGUAACGCAGCUAACGCGUGAAGUAGACCGCCUGGGGAGUACGGUCGCAAGAUUAAAACUCAAAGGAAUUGAC